CCGCCCCGAAGAGGAGCCGGAAGUAGAGAGCGCGAGGUCUAAGGGCACGAGGGAAGUGGCGGGCGGGGACCGAGGGGGCGUGCAGGUAAGCCGACCGGCCUGGGGUCGCCGGCAUGGCAGAGGCCAGGAAGCGGCGGGAGCUGCUUCCCCUGAUCUACCAGCAUCUGCUGCAGGCGGGCUAUGUGCGCGCGGCGCGGGAAGUGAAGGAGCAGAGCGGCCAGAAGAGCUUCCUGACUCAGCCUGUGACCCUUCUGGACAUUUACACGCACUGGCAACAAACCUCGGAGCUUGGCCGGAAGCGGAAGGCGGAGGAAGACGCAGCCCUGCAGGCCAAGAAGACCCGCGUGUCAGACCCCAUCAGCAGCUCGGAGAGCUCGGAGGAGGAGGAGGAGGAGGAGGAAGCGGCCGAAGCCAGAAAUGCCAAAGCCACCCCCAGACCCGCGUCUACCAACUCCUCAGUCCCGGGUCCGGUUCUGCCCUCAAGCAUAAAAGAUGAAGGCGCGGCAAAGACCAAGAAAGCCAGCCAGACGGGGAACCCCACGGCUCGUGCUGCCUCCGGGAAGCCCGUGGCCCAGCUCCUCGGCCAGAAGUCACCCAGGAAGGCUGCGGGGCCCUCGGCCAAUGCCGUCCUGGCCUCGGAAACUGAGGAGGAGGGCAGUGUCUCGGCCCUGAGGACCGCGGCCAAGCCUGGAAUGACGGCCGCCAGCCAGGCCCACAGCUCCAGCGAGGACACCUCCAGCUCAAGUGAUGAGACAGACGUGGAGGGGAAACCUCUGGUCGCACCAGCACAGGUCAAGGCCUCAGCAGCCACAGCUCAGGAGCCUCCGAGGAAGAGGGCACCUCCGACUCCUGGGAAGGCAGGGGCUGGGACACCCCAGGGCAGAGGAGGCACCCUGACCCCAGCCAGCAGGGCCAAGAAGCCGGAGGAGGUCUCGGAGAGCAGCGAGGAGGAGUCUGAGAGUGACGACCAGGCCCCUGCCAGCACACCCAGCCAGACGAAGGCCUCUGAGAAAACGCAGGUCCGAGCCGCCUCAGGUCCUGCCAGGGGGGCCCCUGGGAAAGGGGCGACCCCAGCACCACCGGGGAGGGCAGGGCCCGCGGCCGCCCGGGACAAGGUGGUGAAGCCCGAGGAGGGGUCGGAGAGCAGCAGCGAGGAGGCGUCGUCAUCAUCGGACAGCGAGGAGGAGGCGCCCGCUGCCAAGACUCCGCCUCAGGCGAAGCCCCCGGGGAAGGUCCCUGGGGUCAGAGCCACUUCGGCAGCCCCCGCCAAGGAGUCCCCGAGGAAAGGGGCCCCCCCGGCUCCCGCGAGCAGGGCAGCCCAGGCGGGGCAGCGGGAGGAGGACUCGGAGAGCAGCAGCGAGGAGUCAGACGCCGGGGGCCAGGCCGCCGCAGCCGCGCCCCAGACCUCGAGCCCGGCUCUGGUAAAGCCCAUGGGCCAGAACUCCCACGGCAGGGCCCCCCGAGCCCUGGCAGGGAAGGGUGCAGUCCCUGCGCUCCCUGGGCAGGCGGGGCAGCAGGACUCGGGGAGCAGCAGCGAGGACUCGGACUCGGGGGACAGCGAGGAGGAGGCAGCCACCACUGCGAAGCCCUCCGAGAAAGUCCUCCCAGCCAGAACGGCCUCGGGCCCCAGCACCGGGCCCCCUCAGAAGGCCCGGCCUGCAGCCACCCAGGUCAAGGCCGAAAGGUCGGAGAGCAGCGAGGAGUCCUCCACGGACAGCGAGGAGGAGGCGCCCGCAGCUGCAGCUGCAGCCCAGGCAAAACCAGCUGUGAAAACUCCUCAGACCAAGGCCUCGCCCAGGAAGGGCGGCCCUGUUACACCUGCCUCUGCCAAGGCCGCCCCAGUGCGGGUAGGCACCCCGGCCCCCUGGAAAGCAGGAGCAACCACGGCAUCCCCAGCCACGGCCAAGGCCGCCCAGAGACCGGAGGCGGACUCUUCGAGCAGCGAGACCUCGGAGAGCGAGGAGGAGGAGGAGGAGGCGCCUCCUGCCGCAGCAGCUGGACGGAUGAAGAACUCAGUGACAGCCCCUCAGACCAAAGCCACCCCCGCUGUCCCCAGAGUGGCUUCUGCCAAAGUGGCAGCAUCAGCUCCCGGAAAAGGGGCCCCUGCAGGUGCUCAAGCCACCCUGGGGUCCCCGGCCAAGGUCAGGCCGCCAGCAAGGACCCCCCAGGGCAGGCCUGGUGCAGGGAAGGGCCCGGGGGCCGUGCCGGCCGUGGGGAAGGCGGCGACGACGGCAGCCCCCCAGCCAGGGCCCGUCGGGGGCGCCGAGGACGACUCUGAGAGCAGUGACGGGGACUCGGACAGUGAGGAGGCGGCGCCCGCACAGGCGAAGCCCACCAGGAAGACGCCCCAGGUCAGAGCUGCCUCAGCCCCCAGCAAGGCCUCCCCCAGGAAGGGGGCAGCCCCGGCUCCCGCUGGGAAGACAGGCCCACCAGCCACCCAGGCGGGGAAGCCGACGGAGGACUCGGAGAGCAGCAGCGAGGAGUCGUCAGGCAGCGACGGGGAGGCGCCCCCAGCCCAGGGAGGAGGCUGCAGCCCCGCCAGCGGCAGGCCACCGGCCGCCACGGCCUCAGCAGGGAAGGCCGAGCAGAAGAAGACCAAGGAGGAGAAGGCCGAGGGGCCCUCCGCCAGCAGCGACGACGAGCUGCCGGCCAGCCAGGUGAUUAAAACCCCUCUGAUUUUUGUCGACCCUAACCGUAGUCCAGCUGGCCCAGCUGCUACCCUCGCCCAAGCCCAGGCUACAAGCGCCGGAAGGAAGGUCCAGGCCUCAGAGAGCACGGCUGGGAGCUCCUCUGAGAGUGAGGACGAGGACGUGGUCCCUGCCACGCAGUGCUCAGCCCCCGCCCUCAGAACCAGCUCGGCGACCGCGCCCCCGGUGCCCCCGAGGACGGCCCCCAGGGCCAGCAGUGGCAAGGAGCCCGGGCAGGCGGCAGAAGGCAGGAAACCGGAGGCGCCAGCCACCCAGGUGACCAAGAGGAGCCCAGCUGACCUCCCGCUGACCCAGGCCGCCCUGAAGGUCCUCGCCCAGAAAGCCAGUGAGGGCCGCCCUGCUGCCGCCAGGACCCCGUCCUCGUGUGCGACCGACGGUCUGGGGACACUCCCCACGACACGUCCCCAGAGCGCCCCUGCACAGACCAGAGGGGCCAACGAGCUCAGAAAGCCUGGGGUUCCUGCAGCCCCUCCCUCAAAACGCCCCAAGGCCAAGGCCUCUGGGACCUCAGAGGACAGCGAGGACGGCAGCAGCAGCAGCUCUUCGGGGAGCGAGGACGACGCUGCGGGGCCCCGGGUGGCCCCGGGGGCCCCCGGGCCGGGUGCAGCCCCAGCCAGGAAGGAGACCCUGGUGGAAGAAACCACAGCAGAGUCGAGUGACGACGAGGUGGUGGCACCUUCCCAGUCUCUCCUCUCAGGUUAUGUGACCCCUGGACUGACUCCAGGCACCUCCCAGGCUUCAAAGACCACUCCCAAACCAGCCCCCAGCCCCUCAGUUUCGUCUCCUCCGGCCACCAAAGAUGCGCUAGGCGGCAAGCGGGGUGCUGAGGCCCCAAGAGCAGCAGGCACCACGUCCCCAAAGUCAGGCAGAGGAGAGGCUGGCGCCACACCGCAGAGGCCCCGGGAGGGGCCCGAGAGCCCCCAGGCCUCCAGGCUGGCUCUGCAGCAUGACAUUGCCCGGCGGCUGCUGGGCGAACCCUGGCCCCUGAGCGAGGCGCACGUGCAGGCCUCCGUGGCCAAGGUGCUGACGGAGCUGCUGGAGCAGGAGAGGAGGAAGGCUGCCGAUGCUGCCAGGGAAGGCCGCCGCAAGGGCCGCAAGCGGAAGCUGUCAGAGGACCAGACGGCCGCCAAGGCCCCCAAGAGCAAGAAGAAGAAGCAGCUGGCGGCUGGGGAAGGCGGGGAGCGUGCCGUCUCCCCGGACAAGGCCCCCAGGACUUGCCAGGGGAAGCCCAAGAGGGACAGGGCUGGCGGCGCCAGCAAGGAGAAGCAGGAGAAGGAGGCUCCCGGCUCCCAGGGGGCCAAAGAGAAGCUGGAAGGGGAGCCGGGGAUGGUGAAGGGUGAGGGAGGAGACCAGGGCGCCCCAAGGAGCAAGAAGGAGAAGAAGAAGCCCGACAAGAGUAAGUGUUCCCGCCGCCCUGCUGGGAGCUGUCCCCACGCGGGCGGGCAGCCCUUGGCCAGCACGGGGCCAAGGCUGGCUUGUCCAGGGUCACGGGGCAGGAUCGGCAGAGCCAGAGCCAGGUUCGGGACCACAGGGCCGCCACUGCCCAGGGGCUGAGGUGCCUGCAGCCCCGGGCAUGUCCUUUCGUGGAGCUGUGUGCGGCCUCACGGGUACCACAGCCACGCACCUGCAUCUCAGCUCUUGGACAGCAGCACUCUGCACUCUGGCCCAUGUGCAGGGCCGCCUCCGACCCUCACGCCAGCCUGUGCAAUGGCGGGUGUUUCAUUCCCAGUGUGCAGAUAGAAAGCGUUCUGUUAAAAUAGGUCCACACAGGAGUCCCAUCGUGGCUUGGGAAACGAAUCCGCCUAGUAUCGUGAGGACGUGGGUUUGAUCCCUGGCCUCCCUUAGUGGGUCAAGGAUCCCACGUUGCUGUGAGCUGUGGUGUAGGUCUCAGACGUGGCUCAGAUCCCGCGUGGCUGUGGCCUGGGAACCUCCAUAUGCCAUAGGCGUCACCCUAAAAGGCCAAAAAAAAGCAUUUUUUAAAAAUAUAUGUAUAGCAGAGUUCUCACUGUAGCACAGCGGAUUAAGGACCAGGCAUUGCCACAGCUAAGGCCUAGGUCACAGCUGCAGUUUGCGACUGGGAGGUUCCUUGCCCAGGAACGUCCACCUGCCGCAAGUGCAGGUGGAAGAGACAAAAAAAGAUAAAUGUGUUGAAGUUUUGCCAAGCGGGUUAAUAGUCUGGGUGGCCCAAGGAGAGGGGCCAAGGGCCAGGGCCGGUGUCACAGAGGCCUGGCCUGAGUCGUGAUGGUUCCCAAGGUUGGCGGGGAGCGGGGGCGGGCGGUGGCUCUAGGGCCCCCGAAACCCUGGCUUGUGUGUGUCCCCAACGCUGACCCACAAGGCUGUUGUUUAGCAAGUUUAUUUUCUUCCCUUAGAAAAAAAAGACAAGGAAAAAAGGGAAAAGAAGAAGAAAGCAAAAAAGGCAUCAACCAAAGCCCCCGACUCGCCCUGUCAGAAGAAAAAGAAGAAAAAGGUAUGAUGAAUUCCAGAGAAGUCUCGGGCCAGACAAGGGCCCCGGCCCCGGCCCGUGCAGCUGAGGGAGGUCUGUGCGCGGGAGCCGGGGCAGUGGUCUGUCCUGUGAAGCAGAAGGACAUCCUCAGGAGGCAGAGACAGAGGGGCGCACACACGCAGUCACACGCGCACACGCAGUCACACGCGCGCACGCAGUCACACGUGCACACAUGCGGUCACACAUGCACAGUCACACAUGCACACAUGCAGUCACACAUGCGCACGCAGUCACGUGCACACACGCAGUCACACAUGCGCACGCAGUCACACACGCGCACCGUCGCGCGCGCAGGGCCGGGAGGCUGUGGCAGGUCUGCAGGGAGAGGACACUAUCCCUCCGCUGUGUCGGCCCCGGCGGGCAGGGGGCUGGCGGGCCGAGUGGGGCUGCGGCACCUUCCGCGCACGCAGCUGCUGUUCUCGCUGCGGCGGGAAGAGCCGAGCGUCUGCGCUGUCACGUCCCCUCCGGGGCGGGCAGCCUGCACGGGCCGCGCUCCGUAGGGAAGCCGCUCACCCCUCUCUCCUUGCAGAAGAAGACGGCAGAGCAGACCGUCUGAGGACGCCAGGUGGCAGACGGCGGCGGCCGGCGCGGGCCCUGCAGAGCCGGCCCGGGGAGGAGGAGGAAGCACCCCGGCUCCCGUCACUGCCCCGGCUUCUCUUCGGGCACAGGACGCUUCACAUGGACGUGUACAGUAUAGAGCUAUUUUUUUAAGUGACCUGCCCUCCUUCUGAGGCCCCUGGACUGUCCGCCUCCGCCCCGCGGACCCCACGCAGCUCGGCCCCUGGUCUCCCGCGAGCUGGUGCCUGUCCUUGUCUCUGCCCGUCCAUUUGCGGGCCUUUUGUAAGAACUCAGCAAAUAAAGGACUUGAAGUUUA